AGCACUUUCUUAUUUCUCUCUUUUUUUUCUUUUCACUUUUUUUCUCUUUCUUUAUCUAUUUAAUUUUUAAAUUUGAUUUACAAAAUUUAUCUCCUCAUAUAUUUUUUCUCUUUAUCCAUUCAACAAAAGUACUUCAAGUUGAAAGCUUAUCACUGUCCAAUAAUAACUCAUUUUUCUAUGUCACUAUUAAUUUUUUUUCUCAGAAUAGCAUAUUUCAUUCAUUAUAUUGUUCUUUGAGAAGUGUUGUGAAAUCCCAUUAUAUGUUUGUUAAAAUGCAUGAAUGAAGAACGCAUUUUCCUAUGUCACAUAAUUUUUAUCUCAGAAUGGGAUAUUUGAUUCAAUUUGUUAUUGUUUGAGAAGUGUUGUGAAAUGCCUGUUUGUUAAAUGAAUAAACUAUUUAGUUUAGUUAUAAAAUGCCUAUUUCUUUGUUACACUGUUAGAUCCAAAAAUUCAAAUAGAGACGUAUACCUAGAAUUUUUAAAUUUUAUGAAUUUAAAUUUUUAAUAUUUUUUAGCUUUGAUGCCAUUACAUUUUUAAAAUUAUGGGGUUAGGCCUGCUAUUUGUUGCAAAUUUAACACAAAAAGUUAUUCUCUAUGUGAAAAAUACUAAUUUUAGAUUAAUCUCAACUAAGAAUCAUCCCAUAAGACUUGUAACAAAUUUAUAUUAAGGAUCUAAAUUCAUAUUAUGAAUGGUAAUGGUAAACUCCAAACAUUUUUUUCACAUAAUUUUUUUUUGUUUCCAAGUUUGUUUCUACAUAAAAUGGUAUUUUCUUCAUCUUUUUUACUUCCCAUAUAAUGAAAUUUAUACUUGAUGGUAUGUUGCUGAUAUAUCUUUAAUACUUUUAGAUUGGUUCAGUAUUUUUUCUUUUGUUUUUGUAAAGUAUAUAUUGUGAGUUUAGUUAUUAAGAUUUAUAUGAUUUCGACGGUAAAUUAUUGGGUCAUCGAGAUCUUAUAUGAAAAAUAGAUCAACAAACAUAGGGAUCAGAUACUUAUGAAUAUGGACUGAAUCGAGGAGAGUUUUGAAAGAAGAAAUCUUAUGAUGAGUCAUCUGCUUCUCAAUAUUAAAAUAUGAUGAAUUACUUGUGUAUUGACACAAUUUUAUUUAUAAAAUAGAAUUUCAAUUUAAUUAAAGGGUAACGUAUGUGUUUCAUAAUCUCAACUGUCGCGUUCAUCAUCUUCUUGAUCUUUCAUCCUCCUUUCACUUCAGGAGUUCAAUAUCCAAUUUUUUUUUAUAUCGGACUCUUCUCUCCUUAUAGGUACAAGCCGAUGAGAUUUAAUCUCCCAUUUAUACAUGGUUCCUUCAAGCGCAUUGAAUUUUACAUGAUAAUUACCUAUCCAUUCUCAUUGAUUUUGUUAUUAUUCGUUCUUAGAGAGUCCAUAAUUAUGUCAGUCACUACAUUAUGAUCAAAAUCCUUAUUAAAUCUCCAAGUAUUGAAACAUGCGGCCUCCAAAAUUGAGUACAAACACAUAACGUCAUACAUAUUACAUGAAGAAGAUGCAAAAGAUUUCUUCAAACAAACAAAAAAAGAAGAUGCAAAAGAUAAAGAUUUAUCUAUAUGUUCCCAACCCCUGGUUUCUUCAUCAACCAACUAUUUGACCUCAUAAGCGGGAUCAACCUCAUAAGCGGGAUCAAACAUAUUGUCGUCAGAAGCAGAACCCUAUAUUUCUUCUAGAGAAUCUCCUAAUUUUUUCAAAGCAACUAAAUAGAGAUUCCUCGACUACAAAGAAUUUGAUUCAGAUAUAGGAUGCUUGUCCAAAAAUUUCACAAUUCAAUCAUAGAUAUGUAUUUCAAUGUUAAGCAAGGUUUCAUUUGGAAGAUGCUGCAGCUCAUAUUUAAAUUGUCCAUCUCUUUUGAUUGGGGUAAUCAUUAUUUAUGAUGAUAUUUCUCAAAACUGAUUUUGAGAAUCUGCCUGUUUGGCGUUUGUGUUUGGGCAACUUAAUUUGAUCAAGCAGGUAGUUAUGGUAUUUCAUUUGAUGCAACACAUUGUAGGGAUAAAUUGGAAAGGGGAGGAACCACACCUGAAAAUUGUAUCCAAUAACUAGGCAGAUAUUGAAGAUGUUCGAAAUGAUUGAAGAUAAAUAAGCUUCAGUGUUUUUUGAUUCAUUUAUUUAUAUCUUUACAAGAAUGAUCAUAAUGUUGUAUUACCAUUACUAUAUAAUUGAUACUUUUAUUUUUUACGCUAAUAUUAUAGUACUAAUUGACAAUGAAAGUUGUCGAAUUUCAUUAAUACAAUUUGUGAUUGAAUUUUAAUUAAA